GAUGAAGAACGCAGCGAAAUGCGAUAUGUAAUGUGAAUUGCAGAAUUCAGUGAAUCAUCGAAUCUUUGAACGCACCUUGCGCCCUUUGGCUAUUCCGAAGGGCAUGCCUGUUUGAGUAUCAUGAACACCUCAACCCUCAUGGUUUGCCAUGACGGGCUUGGACUUUGGGGGUCUUGCUGGAUUGUAGUCAGCUCCCCUUAAACAAAUCAGCUUGCCAGUGUUUGGUGGCAUCACAGGUGUGAUAACUAUCUACGCUUGUGGUUUUACAUCAGAUAACCUUCAGUGAUGGAGGUUCACUGGAGCUCAUAAAGGUGUCUCUCCUCUGUGAGGACAGCUCUUUGAAUGUUUGAUCUCAAAUCAGGCAGGACUACCCGCUGAACUUAAGCAUAUCAAUAAGCGGAGGA
rnacentral:misc_RNA from 1 species